rnacentral:tRNA from 1 species
ACCUCAUUGGCUCAGGGCGAAGAGCGUCUGUCUAGUAAAGAGAAAGUAGUUGGUUCGAUUCCAGCAUAAGGCA